rnacentral:rRNA from 1 species
UACGUAGGGGGCGAGCGUUGUCCGGAAUGAUUGGGCGUAAAGGGCGCGUAGGCGGCCAUGCAAGUCUGGAGUGGAAGUCCAUUUUUCAAGGGUGGAAUUGCUUUGGAAACUGUGUGGCUGGAGUGCAGGAGAGGUUAUCGGAAUUCCCGGUGUAGCGGUGAAAUGCGUAGAGAUCGGGAGGAACAUCAGUGGCGAAGGCGGGUAACUGGACUGCAACUGACGCUGAGGCGCGAAAGUGUGGGGAGCAAACAGGAUUAGAUACCCUGGUA